rnacentral:rRNA from 1 species
UACGAAGGGGGCGAGCGUUGUUCGGAAUUACUGGGCGUAAAGGGCGCGCAGGCGGCCCUUGAAGUCAGGCGUGAAAGCCCCGGGCUCAACCUGGGAGGUGCGCUUGAUACUCGAGGGCUUGAGUGCGGGAGAGGAGAGUGGAAUUCCCAGUGUAGAGGUGAAAUGCGCAGAUAUCAGGAGGAACACCAAUUGCGAAGGCAGCUCGCUGGAACGUAACUGACGCUGAGACGCGAAAGCGUGGGGAGCAACCAGG